rnacentral:rRNA from 1 species
AUGUUGGCCUUCAGAGAUACCUUGGAGAUAUGUGAAUUGUCAGAUUUGGGCUUUUCGGGUGUGCCUUUUACCUACGAUAAUAAGCAAGCUGGACGUCGGAAUGUUUAAGUCCGCCUUGACCGGGCAGUGGCGGAUAACCGUUGGCGGGACAUCUUCUCGGAGGCACAGGUCGUGCACCAUGUCAGCCCUUGCUCGGACCACUGUCCAGUGGUGUUACAGUGCAUAAAAGAGGAAAAACUGAAUUUCAAGCCAAACCAGAGACGAUACGAGAUUAUGUGUGAGACUGAUAAUAGCCUGCCUGAGAGGGUUAAGAAUGCAUGGGCUAACACGGGAUCAAAGAUACACCUGGGUGAUAUACGCAGAGGCUUACGUGAGCUGAUGGCCGAGCUACAUGUAUGGAGCAAAUCUAGGUUUGGAUGUGUGGUGCGUGAACUUGAGAAGUCUAGAACAAGGCUGGAGGAGUUGCUGCGUAUGAAUGCUGAUCGCAAUGAAAUACGGGCAGUACAAGACCAUAUGAAUGAUCUCAUGUACAAGGAAGAACUCAUG